AGUGAACGCUGGCGGUAGGCCUAACACAUGCAAGUCGAACGGCAGCACAGUAAGAGCUUGCUCUUACGGGUGGCGAGUGGCGGACGGGUGAGGAAUACAUCGGAAUCUACUUUUUCGUGGGGGAUAACGUAGGGAAACUUACGCUAAUACCGCAUACGACCUACGGGUGAAAGCAGGGGAUCUUCGGACCUUGCGCGAUUGAAUGAGCCGAUGUCGGAUUAGCUAGUUGGCGGGGUAAAGGCCCACCAAGGCGACGAUCCGUAGCUGGUCUGAGAGGAUGAUCAGCCACACUGGAACUGAGACACGGUCCAGACUCCUACGAGAGGCAGCAGUGGGGAAUAUUGGACAAUGGGGGCAAGCCUGAUCCAGCCAUACCGCGUGGGUGAAGAAGGCCUUCGGGUUGUAAAGCCCUUUUGUUGGGAAAGAAAAGCAGUAGGUUAAUACCCCGCUGUUCUGACGGUACCCAAAGAAUAAGCACCGGCUAACUUCGUG
rnacentral:rRNA from 1 species